AUACUGACAUGUGCUUCGUGACUUCUCUUACCAAAUGAUUCCCUUUUGAAAAGAGAAACAUCUGGGACAAAUGAAGACGACUAGGGAAGCCAAAUACUGUUUAGAGCUUGGUUCAGUAGUUGCUCAUGGUUUCACAAAAACUGGAGAGAUAUUUGGUUCAUUCAUUGGGUUAUUUGGCAAAUUGACAUUUGUCUGGGUUCUUGUGGUCCAAAAAGCCCACGGCAAA